CUCUUCCAAACCUCUUUUAAACUGGCUCUUCCAAGUGUACUCCUGUUUCUGGAGCAUGGAAUGGGCUCUGGACUUGAGGAGUUUCCAGAACCUCUGAUGUUCUAUGUACAGGGCUGUGGAUGAGGUGUUCCCCCUCCAGCAGAGUCCGUGUUCCUGUGCUCUGUGUCCUUCGAGGCUGAAGGGAGCUUAUGGAGUAGAGAAAAUGCUUUCAGUCUUUGCAGAGCUUUUCUCUAGAACACAGGAGAGUCACAGAACGUGCAAGGUCCUUGCAAUAACCUCUUGAUCCAUUCAGGAUCUGCAAAUAAGAAAACAAGUUGUUCAAAGCUGGGGGCAGAGGUGAACAGAGGAAUGACACCUGAGAUGCACAAAGAGGAAUCCUGAACAGUUUGAAUCCAACUCCAUUUCUGUUCUGGAAUUUUAAGCAAUGCCAGUUUAAAUUCCACCUCAGCAGGAGACAAAAUGAAGGUGAAACACUCUGUGCUAUAUCCUUACACACUCAUCUAAAUACCUAUAUAGGAAAUAAAUUUAAAGGUUCACCAUGGCACAAAUGUACUGUUCUCAUUUUCUAAACUGAAAUUAGAUCCUUCGCAUAACACAGUCCUUGGUUCCUGUUUCUUUGUCCCUCUUCCAUAACUGGAUGCUAAUAUAUUCAACCUGAAUAUAAACUAACUGCUGUAGCAUUCCAGCACAGAUUGUGUUUACCCAGCUCUCAUUAAAAUGUGGAUUUAUACA